UACGUAGGGGGCGAGCGUUGUCCGGAAUUAUUGGGCGUAAAGAGCUCGUAGGCGGCUUGGCAAGUCGGAUGUGAAAACUCCAGGCUCAACCUGGAGCCGCCAUUCGAUACUGCUAUGGCUAGAGUCCGGUAGGGGAGUGUGGAAUUCCCGGUGUAGCGGCGAAAUGCGCAGAUAUCGGGAGGAACACCGAUGGCGAAGGCAGCACUCUGGGCCGGCACUGACGCUGAGGAGCGAAAGCGUGGGGAGCGAACAGG
rnacentral:rRNA from 1 species